GUAAAUGAAGUCAAAUUGGUAUAGACAAUAAAUUGUGGAUUUAUUUAAAGCGGGUUCAAUUCCCGUCAUUUACC
rfam:Eimeria necatrix Houghton genomic scaffold, Enh_scaff2171